rnacentral:lncRNA from 1 species
UCAAUUGAACCCUCAAACCGAGUUGUUUGCAAUUUUUGCCUUUUGCUUUUGCUUAUGUCUAAGUAGGGAGCAUUAUUGAAUAAAUUUGGUUUUGCAAUCUAAAGUUGGGGAGAGUAAAGAAAAAAGAGUUGAUUAGAAACUUGAAGAAAGGAGUUUUUAUGAAAGGGUGAAAGUAUGAAAAGAAACAAGAAAAAGAAAUCACCCUUGAAACCAUAGAGCAAAGAAAAAGAAAAGAAAGAAAAAACAAAGAAAAGGCUCAUGGUUU